rnacentral:rRNA from 1 species
AGGAUGAACGCUGGCGGCGUGCUUAACACAUGCAAGUCGAACGAUGAAGGCUGGAGCUUGCUCUGGCUGGAUUAGUGGCGAACGGGUGAGUAACACGUGAGUAACCUGCCCCAGACUCUGGGAUAAGCGCUGGAAACGGCGUCUAAUACCGGAUACGAGCUUCCACCGCAUGGUGAGGAGCUGGAAAGAAUUUCGGUCUGGGAUGGACUCGCGGCCUAUCAGCUUGUUGGUGAGGUAAUGGCUCACCAAGGCGACGACGGGUAGCCGGCCUGAGAGGGUGACCGGCCACACGUGGGACUGAGACACGGCCCAGACUCCGUACGGGAGCGGCAGGUGGGGAAUAGUUGCAACAAGU